AGUGAACGCUGGCGGCAGGCCUAACACAUGCAAGUCGAACGGCAGCACAGUAAGAGCUUGCUCGCACGGGUGGCGAGGGGCGGACGGGUGAGGCAAACAUCGGAAUCUACUUUUUCGAGGGGGAUAACGAAGGGAAACUUACGCUAAUACCGCAUACGACCUACAGGGAAAAGCACGGGCUCUUCGGGCCUUGCGCGAUUGAAUGAGCCGACGUCGAAUUAGCUAGUUGGCGGGCUAAAGGCCCAACAAGGCGACGGUCCGUAGCUGGUCUGAGAGGCUGAUCUGCCUCACUGGAACUGAGCCCCGGUCCCAGCUCCUAGGGGAGGCAGCAGUCGGGAAUAUUGGCCAAUGGGCGAAAGCCUGCUCCAGCCAUACCGCGUGGGUGGAAAAGGCCUUCGGGUCGUAAAGCUCUUUUGUUGGGAAAGAACAGCAUCAGGUUACUACCCCGCUGUUCUGACGUUACCCAAAGAAUAAGCACCGGCUAACUUCGUG
rnacentral:rRNA from 1 species